rnacentral:rRNA from 1 species
UUGAUCCUGGCUCAGAUUGAACGCUGGCGGCAGGCCUAACACAUGCAAGUCGAGCGGAUGAAGGGAGCUUGCUCCUGGAUUCAGCGGCGGACGGGUGAGUAAUGCCUAGGAAUCUGCCUGGUAGUGGGGGAUAACGUCCGGAAACGGGCGCUAAUACCGCAUACGUCCUGAGGGAGAAAGUGGGGGAUCUUCGGACCUCACGCUAUCAGAUGAGCCUAGGUCGGAUUAGCUAGUUGGUGGGGUAAAGGCCUACCGAGGCGACGAUCCGUAACUGGUCUGAGAGGAUGAUCAGUCACACUGGAACCGAGACACGGUCCAGACUCCUACGGGAGGCAGCAGUGGGGAAUAUUGGACAAUGGGCGAAAGCCUGAUCCAGCCAUGCCGCGUGUGUGAAGAAGGUCUUCGGAUUGUAAAGCACUCUAAGUUGGGAGGAAGGGCAGUAAGUUAAUACCUUGCUGUUUUGACGUUACCAACAGAAUAAGCACCGGCUAACUUCGUGCCAGCAGCCGCGGUAAUACGAAGGGUGCAAGCGUUAAUCGGAAUUACUGGGCGUAAAGCGCGCGUAGGUGGUUCAGCAAGUUGGAUGUGAAAUCCCCGGGCUCAACCUGGGAACUGCAUCCAAAACUACUGAGCUAGAGUACGGUAGAGGGUGGUGGAAUUUCCUGUGUAGCGGUGAAAUGCGUAGAUAUAGGAAGGAACACCAGUGGCGAAGGCGACCACCUGGACUGAUACGGACACUGAGGUGCGAAAGCGUGGGGAGCAAGCAGGAUUAGAUACCCUGGUAGUCCGCGCCGUAAACGAUGUCGACUAGCCGUUGGGAUCCUUGAGAUCUUAGUGGCGCAGCUAACGCGAUAAGUCGACCGCCUGGGGAGUACGGCCGCAAGGUUAAAACUCAAAUGAAUUGACGGGGGCCCGCACAAGCGGUGGAGCAUGUGGUUUAAUUCGAAGCAACGCGAAGAACCUUACCUGGCCUUGACAUGCUGAGAACUUUCCAGAGAUGGAUUGGUGCCUUCGGGAACUCAGACACAGGUGCUGCAUGGCUGUCGUCAGCUCGUGUCGUGAGAUGUUGGGUUAAGUCCCGUAACGAGCGCAACCCUUGUCCUUAGUUACCAGCACCUCGGGUGGGCACUCUAAGGAGACUGCCGGUGACAAACCGGAGGAAGGUGGGGAUGACGUCAAGUCAUCAUGGCCCUUACGGCCAGGGCUACACACGUGCUACAAUGGUCGGUACAAAGGGUUGCCAAGCCGCGAGGUGGAGCUAAUCCCAUAAAACCGAUCGUAGUCCGGAUCGCAGUCUGCAACUCGACUGCGUGAAGUCGGAAUCGCUAGUAAUCGUGAAUCAGAAUGUCACGGUGAAUACGUUCCCGGGCCUUGUACACCGCCCGUCACACCAUGGGAGUGGGUUGCUCCAGAAGUAGCUAGUCUAACCGCAAGGGGGACGGUUACCACGGAGUGAUUCAUGACUGGGGUGAAGUCGUAACAAGGUAGCCG